CUCUGCCCCGCUUCCCGUCGUGUCUCCGAGCAAAGCGACGUAGAGCAGAAGCAGCAGCAGCAGCAGCAGCAGCGGAGGAUCAGGAGGAGAGGGAGGAGAGCCGAGCGCAUCCCAAAGUUUGAAGCUGCAGCUGUUCGACGCAGCGAACACAAGGAUCGGCUUAUGCGGAAUCAGUUUGCAGUGAUACACAGCUCUACCUCCUUCGUAUCCUGGAUCUUGCUAGCAUUGCCCCAUCCUGAAGCCUAAACACCGAGCUGCACGCUGACAUUUCGGCUGUUGGAUCAGUUCUACAGAGGCGAGAGAGUGUAACUGGCAACAAGUGGUGGUUUCGAAGGAGCUGCGGUGAUUCUUCAGCUCAACCAGGAACAUCCGACGACAAUAAACCAUCAUUGUCCCUCUGUCGUAUCAUGAGGACAGUCUGCCUGAACAGAUUCUGCAUUCAGCGCACUGACCGGAUGAAGGCUGCUUUUUUUUGUGACUGACAGUCUUAACAAACACAAACUCACCAUCUCAGAACCUCCUAAUUCAUUCCCUACCUCUUGUUGCUUCUCGGCUUGUCAAGAGAAGAGAUCAUCCCAAAGGGAGACGGUGAAAGGAAGUUAUUAUUUCAACACUUGACAGCUCUGACCUACUUAUCACGCUCCAGCUAGCCGGACUGAAGGGGAAAAAAACAAACAAAAAAAAAAAAAACAAAACUUGCAUUUAGCAGGCAGCAUCAGCAAAAGGUGAUGCACUCCUCUGUAUUCAGGGCCAUUGAUCCACUGACCUCCUGAUCUAAUUAGCUGCACACAAACAACCCAUGCAUGUGUGAACGCAGACAAACACCUGGUGUCGCCCUGCAGAUGCUUUAAAUAGCCUCGUGUUUGUAACACUAGCGUCUGUCCCUUGGCUCGGUGACACGACACCCACAACACACACACACACACACACUUAAGCAGCUAUACCCAAUUGGGUGUUAGGAGUCCAUCUGCACCCCAUUAACUCCCGUAGCAAACACCGACCUUGACUGUGACGCGUGCUUGUGCGUUUGCAUCAGCAGGAAGCAGUGUCACAUCCUGUCUGCUCUGAUUGGGAGUGAGAAUGAGAGCUGCUGUGGCAGACUGGCCUUGAUAAAUACUCUUGGAAAAAAAAAUUAGUGCCUGAGGGUCAGCCACUCAAACUGGAAGCCAUAGAGCUUCAUUAGAAGCUGUUUAGUCACUUCCUUAAAAUGUGUGACAUUCAAAAGUAGUCCACAUUAAUUGAAAAGUGUGUGUGUGUGUGUGUGUGCAUGUGUGUCUGUCACGUUGUCAGAGCAGAUUAGGGCCAGGUCUGUCUUGGUCAUGUCACUUUGACUGACCUAGAUUUGACAAAAUAAACCGGCCACCAGAGGAAAACCUGUAUGCUGUGAUCAGAACAACACACACACAUUUUGGAGAUUGCUCUGCAGUCUUCUAACUUUUAACCUGCUAACUUACUCUGCCUAGCUACUUCACCCAACUAACAGGGUUUACAAUAUAAAACGUGUAAACUCUUAAUUUAGCCUCAUAAUCAAACU